UCACACACAGUGGUUUUACACUGCGCGAGAAAGCCCACAUGCGAGUAGUUAACCCAAAGAUUUAAAAGGUAGAAUAAUACCUAGAGAAGGGGUGAAUAGGUGUAAACAGUAACAAAAAACCAACUCGGCAUAUUUAAAAUCAAUGAAGGAAGAUAAAAUCAACACACCAAGAAUUUACAUGUAAAAACUCCAAGUAAAAAAUCGAUGGGACCGAUUACACAAAAAAUUCACUAUAAAUAAAAGGAGUACAAGGUAAUAUAUCAAAUCCAUAACUCACCCUUUACCCUAUUUGUAGUAGAUCUUCUUUCCUUGUCCACGAUCGAUCGAACUCCUCCAACCAAUCAGGUUACGAGUCCACACAAUAUCCACGCCUCAAGUCCAUGAAGCCUUCACUAAAUCCACGGCCUUCACGCGAGUCCACGCGCAAACACCCCGUUCGGAGAGUAAUAAACGAAUUGUUGAUAGUGAUUUGAUGUAUAGAAAAAUAAAAGAUUUGGAAAAAAAAAUCUUCUAAGAAAGCAUCAAUUUCAUUCUUAAGAGAAAAUCUGAAUCAAAAAUCUAAAAAUCAAAUUGAACAAAGAAACUUGUUCUUGAGAGAAGGAAGAAGAAUCACCAAAAUAAGUUUCUAGGAUUCUAAGAGAUAUUCUAAUCUAAACCGUGUUUCGGAGAGACCCCCCAAAUCUUAUUUAUAGGUUUGAAAGUAAUUAGAAUCAGAUAAGGAUUGAAAAAUUCAAUUAAAAAAAAAUUGUUUCGAGUUCAGGAUCC
rnacentral:lncRNA from 1 species